AGAAGAUUGUAAUAAAAGCCACCAAAGCAAUUCUGGACCACUGCACAAAUUAAAACCCCAGGCUCCACUGGCAGCAAAGCGGCAGAGAAGGAGAG
rnacentral:lncRNA from 13 species